UCCUUGAGUAUUUUGCAUAGGGGAAGUGGCAGAAAGGGGAAACUUUUCAUCCAACAUGCAGCCUCCUGACUUGGGGAUAUCAGCACGGAUUCCAGAGGCGUGCAUUUUCACAGCAUGUUUGCAGACCUUCCAUGCAAGGUAAUGGUUUAUGCGCUCGCAAAACGUCUCUUGUAAAACCUAACACUCCGACUUCAAGGUAACAUGAUGCAGAGCUCUUCCAUAUAUAUCCAUCCCUUCCAUACCACCACGACCACCACCACCACCGCCAUCAUCAUCAUCAUCAUCUUCAUCAUCAUCAUCAUCAUCAACAACAUCGCCGUCGUCGUCGUCGUCGUGGACACCGCCACAAUCAUCGGAGUACAUGGAAGUUGUUUAUGGUUGUGCAACAAUUUCUGAUGACACGAGACACGCAAACGAACACAUGACUCCCUCAUCUGGACAUCGGAGGAACUGCAGGGUAUGGCGCUAUGCGGGGCUGUGUUACGUUUCCCUUCAUUCGUCGAUCGAGAGCAUGACGGGCAUCCGUCAGUGAGGGACUGACAGACUUUGAAUACUGGCAGAAUGCCCACCUGCGGAAAUCUCAAUUGGAUCAGAAAUGAGCUACAAGGGGAUGCUGCAUUUUGUAAACUGGAGGUCACCGUCACGGUGCCCAAGAUGCCACGGCCUGUUGAAAAAAAACAUCUCACCUGUGAUGGUACAUUGUGAUUUCCUAUUGGAGAAGUGAUCAUUUGAAAAUAUAAACACUUGCGGCGAUCGAGGGGAAGAAAGCGUUGCCGAUUGAUAUUUAUCCAUUUCCUCGCAUGCUACGUCAGCGUCGAUAGGUAUUUAUGCCAAAUCAUUAACAUGGUCAGGGUGUUCAGAUUGGCAGUGCAAAAUUGUCAUUUUGGAACAAGCCUUUUGUAUUCAUCAGUUUCCAAGAAGUAGCUCUCAAUUUGAAAAAAAUCGGUGACCCCUGUUGGAAGACAUCAAACUCAAAAUAGUGAAUUAGAUUAAAGAACAGACUUGAUUAGCAAAAAAGUGUGAGUUCAAGUUAAGAGGGGAUGUUUGCCUCGAAAUGACUCAUACCUAAUCCGCCGUAGCCUCUUUCUCCUUUACUGAACUUGAACCCAGACAAGUACCAGCAAGUCCUGGAGGACAGGUUUGAUGGGCUACUGUUAAUAGUUUUCUUUUCUGCACUCACACAUCCAGCCGGCUUCAAGAUUGUCGACGAUAAACCCCCUCAAAAAAUGUUUGGACCAGUUUUUAAAUGUAAUAUCAUUUGCCAUUGAAAUAAGAAGUAGGCUUAUAUCAUGUGACACACUUUCGAAAAAAAAUGGUGGCAUCUUAGUUUUUGCAAAAAUUUAGCGUUCAUUUUCUGGAUGUGGACCAACAAAUCCCUUUUUUUGUUCUUCACCUUUUGGCACUGUGGGUCAUAUCAAGUUCUCAGCAGCGAGAAUGCUGACUCCCUGAUAGCAUCAACAAGAUGGUGCAAAGUGAUGACAAGUCUGCAGAAUCAGCCUGCCUGGCAAGCCGAGAGGGUCACGGGUGACUGAGAACACGUAGUUUUGUUAGUCAUGCCAUCAUCAUUAAGAAAUGAGCCGAGGAUUAGUUAAGUCGGCCGCCGCAUUCAACACCGACUGGAUGGUUUUCACGACAUUUACUGACAGGAACAACACAUUCAUUUUCGUCGCACACGGAUCCUUUUUUUCGUUCAGGCGUUUGAAAAUAUAUAUAUAUUUUUUUAAUGAGUUAUUAUGCUCGCUUUCAUUGAUAAGCAUCUGUGGGAUUUGAUUUGUUUUAUUGUUUAUUGUAUUAACCCUCAAAAAUCAUUCAUGAUGUUACAUACCAUGAUCAUAUUGACAGUGUGUGGUAAUACGGGAUAACAUUGAAAUAAAUGCUCAUAAAGUUGAAAUUAAAUAUGUUAUAUCUCUUUCCAUGAACUACACUCAAAUAUUAGCUCAAUAAUUUCACGGUCUGCAUUAUGAUUCCAGCUUUUUUGGGAAGGCAAAACAACAACUUUUUUCUUGUUCAGCAAUUAGUAUUUGAGCUUGAGUGAGGUUCUUGAUUGAUGCGGAGAAAAUUUCUGCCACCUUGGCAGAUCAUGCUUCGCUCCUCAAAUGAAGUUCUUCCAUACAAGUGGCACAUACAUUGAUUUUCUACCGUACAUCCAUUCAAUUAUUUGUUUGUUAAGUUAGAUUUUUUUAAAACCCAAUUUUGCGUACUUUUGAGCCAUUGGUUUUAAGAGCACAAGCAUCUUUUGUUUGUUCAAUCUUUAGUACUUUCCCACCUUGAGAUUUACAAAUGCAUCCCGAUAUUGAAAUACACUCCAUGUUAGUGUGAAGACAACAAAAAGGAGGAUGAGUGCACACUGCAGCCCAGAUCAGAACGAGGUGAGUACUUGAGCAAACUCUCUUUUGGAUACAUUUACAUGUAAACAUGUUCAGUAUGCAGGUGGAAAUACAGGCCGUUGGUGAAAAAAUAUUCAUAACCUGUAUAGUGGGGGGUCAUUUGGCAAAUGAUAAACUUGGACUACACCACUCGUGUCAUGAAAAAGCAUUUGAAUAAAAACAAACUUGGGUGCAUGAGAGUCCUUCCCUCUGACAAACGUGUUCACACAUUUGAAGCUGCAGGUCAUGUUGAGUUCUUUCAGCAUAUCCGUUUCACUUCCACACUCUUUUACGUUUUUGUGCGGACACCCCUUUCCAAAAGUAAUGGGACGAUCCUCGAGAUGUAGCUCAUCCGUGAUUGCCUGAUAGUUCCGGACACAGAGGGCUGCGCUUCGACCUCCCAUACACAGCCUAGCAACCUCAUCCCUCUGCCACCCACCCAUAAUGGCAAAUCAAAGAAGGAAAACAUCCAUCCAUCCAUCCAUCCAUCCAUCCAUUUACCAAACCGCUUGAUCCUCACUAGGGUCGCGGGGGGUGCUGGAGCCUAUCCCAGCCGUCUUCGGGCAGUAGGCGGAGGACACCCUGGCACACAGAGACGAACAACCAUCCACGC